UAAAGCUUGAAUUUUUUUUUAGAGGAAAAUGAAUUAAUAUUGGCCCCUGCGUCUUCUCUCUACACUUCCACAAUUUGCUCUAUGUUUUGUGUCACACACAGAGAGAACAGAGUCAGCACCAAACCUCACCCCCGCUCACCACUGACGAUCACCAUCGUCGCGUACCACCAUUGCUCACCAGCGUCGCACGUCGCCACCACCACCGCUGCAAAUCACCACCCCUACUGCCACGAAUCACAGAGGAAUUUUUAAAUGCAAUUGAUGGUGUCAGAUCAUCAUAGCA